rnacentral:rRNA from 1 species
UACGUAGGUGGCAAGCGUUGUCCGGAUUUACCGGGCGUAAAGAGCGCGCAGGCGGUCGAAUAAGUCGAAUGUGAAAGCCCCCGGCUUAACUGGGGAGGGUCAUUCGAUACUGUUCGACUUGAAGGCAGGAGAGGGCAGCAGAAUUCCCGGUGUAGUGGUGAAAUGCGUAGAUAUCGGGAGGAAUACCAGUGGCGAAGGCGGCUGCCUGGCCUGUUCUUGACGCUGAGGCGCGAAAGCUGGGGGAGCAAACGGG